UGCGACCGCCGUUACACGGCCACCUCUCGAUCUAUCUCGUUGACUCCGCGACAAUUCGUCACUUUCUGUCCUUCGCUAAAUGAAGCUGUAGACGAGCGGACACGACGAUCAUUAUCCUCGCGACGGGAAAGAGGGGGAGCGUGCCGCUUAACCUCGCGCGCGCGACGGGGGCGCCUUCUUCCCGCGCAAGAGAGGAUUUCGAGCCUUUGUUGAAGGCCGGCUCUCGCACAGUAGCCCGCGCGCGAGAAUGUACGCGAGCAACAAGAGCAAGUCAGGUCUGAACGGUCCAGAACAAAAGAUCGUCAUAAUAAUGUCAAGAUAACGAGAGAAUGACCAAAAAAUGUUCUCUUCAAUCAUGAGUCAAUCAGAUCUCGCUUCUCGUCCUUCCCUAGACAUGCGACACGUGCGUCUCUCCCUUCCAGACUGGAAAUGAGGAACGCCGAGAGCAAGGCUCGUUUCGCCUUCGCGCUUCGGACGAAGUAGAGAACACGACUGUGCGUAGAUUAAAAAAAAAUUAAUUGGAAAGAUCAAGGUAUGUGCUUCAUGAGGGUAGAAAAUAUUUGACCGUUUUUCAAUGUCGCCAAGUACAAACGACAACAAUUUGUUUUUCUAUCAAGCUUACAAUAGAACUACUCUGGAGCAUUAAAUAAAUAUAUUAAAAAUUCUAUAAUGACAUCAAUAA